rnacentral:misc_RNA from 1 species
UCAAACUUGGUCAUUUAGAGGAAGUAAAAGUCGUAACAAGGUUUCCGUAGGUGAACCUGCGGAAGGAUCAUUAUUGAAUAAAAAAUGAUUGGGUUGUUGCUGGCUUUUAUAAAUGAGCAUUGUGCACACCUGAUCUGCUUUUAAAUCUCUCCUCUUGUGCAUUUUGUGUAGAUUAAAAGACACUUUCGAGAUUGUCUCUCGGUUAGAGAAUAUGCUAUGUAAAAGCUGGCUUUUCUUGUGUCUCAGAUCUGCAAUAUUUUUUUGACACACUCUGCUUUAAAGUAUUAGAAUAGAUUGAACAGGUCAUUAUUCAAUGCCUGUAAAUAAAUGUCAAAUACAACUUUCAACAACGGAUCUCUUGGCUCUUGCAUCGAUGAAGAACGCAGC